rnacentral:rRNA from 1 species
GACGAACGCUGGCGGCGUGCUUAACACAUGCAAGUCGAACGGAAAGGCCCUGCUUUUGUGGGGUGCUCGAGUGGCGAACGGGUGAGUAACACGUGAGUAACCUGCCCUUGACUUUGGGAUAACUUCAGGAAACUGGGGCUAAUACCGGAUAGGAGCUCCUGCUGCAUGGUGGGGGUUGGAAAGUUUCGGCGGUUGGGGAUGGACUCGAGGCUUAUCAGCUUGUUGGUGGGGUAGUGGCUUACCAAGGCUUUGACGGGUAGCCGGCCUGAGAGGGGGACCGGCCACAUUGGUACUGAGAUACGGCCCAGACUCCUACGUUAGGCAGCAGUGGGGAAUAUUGCGCAAUGGGCGGAAGCCUGAUGCAGCAACGCCGCGUGCGGGAUGACGGCCUUCGGGUUGUAAACCGCUUUCGCCUGUGACGAAGCGUGAGUGACGGUAAUGGGUAAAGAAGCACCGGCUAACUACGUG